rnacentral:rRNA from 1 species
UACGUAGGGGCCUAGCGUUGUCCGGAAUUAUUGGGCGAAAGAGCUCGUAGGCGGUUCGGCAAGUCGGAUGUGAAAUCUCCACGCUUAACGUGGAGGGGCCAUUCGAAACUGCUGUGACUCGAGUCCGGUAGGGGAGUGUGGAAUUCCCGGUGUAGCGGUGAAAUGCGCAGAUAUCGGGAGGACACCAGUAGCGAAGGCGGCACUCUGGGCCGGUACUGGACGCUGAGGAGCGAAA